rnacentral:rRNA from 1 species
UACCAGACUCCUACGGGAGGCAGCAGUGAGGAAUAUUGGUCAAUGGCCGAGAGGCUGAACCAGCCAAGUCGCGUGAGGGAAGACGGCCCUACGGGUUGUAAACCUCUUUUGUCGGGGAGCAAAGCGAACCACGUGUGGUUCAUUGAGAGUACCCGAAGAAAAAGCAUCGGCUAACUCCGUGCCAGCAGCCGCGGUAAUACGGAGGAUGCGAGCGUUAUCCGGAUUUAUUGGGUUUAAAGGGUGCGCAGGCGGAAUGUCAAGUCAGCGGUAAAAUUUCGGGGCUCAACCCCGUCGUGCCGUUGAAACUGGCGUUCUUGAGUGAGCGAGAAGUAUGCGGAAUUCGUGGUGUAGCGGUGAAAUGCUUAGAUACCACGAAGAACCCCGAUUGCGAAGGCAGCCUGCCGCAGCGUUACUGACGCUGAAGCUCGAAAGCGCGGGUAUCGAACAGGAUUAGAUACCCUUGUAC